UUCUGGUUUUUAAAAAUGUUUUUAUAAAUUUAUAGCCGUAAAAAUGCAUUUGAUUUAUUUGUUGCAUUGGAUGAAAAGAAUGAAGCAUUUGGAGAACUGUACUGGGAUGAUGGUGAUUCAUUAGAUACAUAUAAAAAUGAUGCUUUUAAUCUCAUUCAACUAUCUGCUCAAAAUAAUGUUUUCAUCUCUAGUGUGGUUAACAAAGGAUAUAAUGAUGCUAUGAAUUUGAAAGAAAUUAGAAUAUAUGGUGUAGGUGAUGAUGUCAAAAAUGUAACUAUUAAUGACCAGCCUACGUCAUGUAAUGUCACGAAGACACAUAUAGCUAUAGAUGCCUCUGGAUUCACAUUACUAGAAGAGCUCAAAAUUAUCUGGAAUUAAAUAUGUGUUCCUGUCAUUAGAAAAAGAGUUUCUACUAUAAGAUCUUUGACAUAUUAUUUCAACUUUGGAUCUUUCAUAAUAUAUUUAGAUAUCUACCCUGUUUAAAUUGUUAAAUUGUAAUAUAUAUAUUGUUGAUCUUUAAAGUUCAUCUCUCUCUAUAUAUAUAGUGUAUAUAUAUAUAAUUUUGUAUAUGAAUCUUGUAGUAAAUGUUAUGUUAAUUCUAAUAUUUGAAAUAAUUUUGCUAAUAAAUUAUGAGUUUUGAUGAAUUUUAAAUACAAUUUCUAGUCAUUUAUAGCAUUAUUAUUUUAAAGCAAAUGCUUUGCUUUAUAUUAAAGCACUCAUUUAAAUCGGAUUUUUUUUUAAUUUAAAAGAAAACUAAUUUAUUAAUAUACCUAAAUUUAAUCUUUUGAUUAUUAGCAUUCUCUCACUAAAUAAAAUUAUAUAUUAUAUCUUAAUAUAAAUGUAAGAAAAUGGAAUUUAUUUGAUAUUAUGCCCCCCAAAUGCUUAAAAAUUAUUUCAUUUCUUUCUAGUUAAUAAUAUACAGUAACCAUGUAAUGGGAAAAAUAAAAUAAAAUAAUUUUAUUUUUAUUUUAUAUAUUCUUGCAUCUUUUUUAAAAUAAAAUCUUCAUUUCAUCAUCAAAUUUCAUGAAUGAAUGGGUUAAAUGUCAAAAGACUAUCCUUUGGUUCUUUUAUUGUGAUUGUUGAUUUUUUAAUAAUUUCAGAGUUGUUUAUGAUUUUGGGUGCUUUUUAUUGUUAAGUUUACCCUAUUUUAUUAAGAGAUAAAUGUUAAUUUCCUAACAAACUGUAUAUUGCUAUUAUUAACUGUUAUCAAGAACAUAAAAAUAUUUAUGUAUAAUUGCUGUGAAUUUUUUGUAUUUGUUAAUUGACUAUGUAUCUUAUAUUUUAUAAUUUUAAUUCUAUACAAAUGUAAAAUGCCGUUUGAUCAAAAAAUUUAAACACUUCAUAUAUUAUGUUUAUGUUUGGCAUAAAUUUUAAUUAUCUUAUUAUCCAAUAAUUUAUAUUCUGAUAACACAAUUGUUUACGUUGUUAUUUGCAGACAGAUAAAACUGUAGCUUUUGAUUUCAGUUCAUUCAAGUUUGUAAAUUAAGGGUAGUCAUUUGAUGUUCAAAGCUAUAAUAUAUAAAUUUUUAUUAUGAUGUUUUAAUUUAUUUUUAUUAAUAUAUCAAUUUUUAUGUCCUUAGUGUUCCUUUCUUCUUAAAAUUUGUUCCUUUGCUUCUUAACUGAUAUUUUAAAAGGUUGUAAUACAGGCAAAUAGAAGAAAUUAAUGGGAUUGUAAAAAGAAAAUACUUAACUGCAGAAUAGAAAGAUUUUGAAACUCAUCUGCUGCUAAUAGAACUGCUCAGAAUGAUAAUGUGUCAGACCAUGGAAGUAAAGUCUGUGUAAGAAAUGGAAGCUUGCAUGCUACUCUUUGUGUCCCACUAUUUGCUUAGAACUUGAAUAUUAUAAAAUAGAAUGCACGUGAAUGCAGCAAAGCACACAAUCCUUUUAGGGGUGCAGUCCCAUUAAAGAAUUAUUUUCUUUUAAAGCUUCCAUGCAAAAUGUAAAUGAAAGCAAGGGAAUACAAAUUAUUAUUGUAUGUAAACUAAACUUUUUUGUGGUUGUUGUUGCUGUUGUUAAUGCUAAUGCCAUUUCCUUGUGUUCCAUAAAGUAUACCAUGAGCUAAUAUAAAUAAGUUAUAGCUCCAACAUAUUAAAUAAAUAAACUUAAAGCAUCUAAAAUUAAAAAUAAAUUAGAGUCAAAGCAAGGCAAUGCAUAGUAUUAAAAUUUCUAAAUGCCAGAUAAGCAACAUCAAUCAGAUAGGGGAAACCAUCAGUCACUCCUACAUAGAAAGAAGCUUCAAAAGGAAUGCCCGAAAAAGAUACAUAUUUUUUUUUUAAAUCCUCCUCAGAAAUGAAUUCCAGAGUCUUUUAAAACAUCUGUAAUAACAAUAAAUAAAAUAAUAAACCAAAAUUGCAAUUUAAAAAAGUUAAAAGCAUACUGUUCACAAGCUUUUGCCAUGACAUGUGGCUGAAUACAGAGCAGUUUGUAAUAGAGCCCUGUAUGAAAAUUAUUUAGCAUGAGAAAAAAAAUGGAAAUACAUUGUAUUCCAUUUUUCUCUUUAUUUUCAAAGCUAUUAAUUUAUUUUCAAGCUUCAUUCAUUUCUAAGCUCUUCGCUCUUUAUUUUUAAAGCAAAACUUUUCUAUUAAAAUUUCCUUCCCUAUCAUGAUACUGUUUCUAGAAUUCUCCUUAAUGAGGCUUUAAACGUUUCAUCAUUUUUCAUUGGUGUGCUAAAAAAAAAAAAAAAAAAAAAAAAAAAAAAAA